GCCAAGAGAGUGUCAGCCACUAACUGCUGCCUUACAGGCCAGGAUCUUGUUCUCCUGCCUGGCUGGCCCUGUCCCUUGGCCCCCUGUCUCACUGUCCUCCUGGAGAGGGCCUGUGGGGCCAGGGGAUGGUACCGUUUCCUGUUCUGUGGGGCUGGGUGCUCGUGGCUGCUGUGAGUACAGAUGCCACUGCAAGCUUGGUGGAGCAAAGGCCCAGGUGGGUCCUGGUACCUCGCGGACAGGCUGAAACCCUGAGCUGCCUCCUGAGAGAUUCCCAGUAUCCCUGGAUGAGCUGGUAUGAACAGGAUCUCCAGGGACAACUACAGGUUCUGGCCACUCUGAGGAAUUCUAGGGAUGAGGAGGUUGUAUCCCGUCCUGGAGUGGAUUACCGGGUCACACGGGUGGAUAACACCGAGCUGAGGCUGCACGUGGCCAAUGUGACCCAGGGAAGAACCCUGUACUGCACCUGUAGUGAAGACACAGUGAGAAACCCUCCUUGGACAACUGACUAA